UAGUGCACAAUGGGGGAAACCCUGAUGCAGCGACGCCGCGUGAGUGAAGAAGUAUUUCGGUAUGUAAAGCUCUAUCAGCAGGGCAGAUNNUGACGGUACCUGACUAAGAAGCCCCGGCUAACUACGUGCUAGCAGCCGCGGUAAUACGUAGGGGGCAAGCGUUAUCCGGAUUUACUGGGUGUAAAGGGUGCGUAGGUGGCAGGGCAAGUCAGAUGUGAAAGCACGGGGCUCAACCCCUGUACUGCAUUUGAAACUGUCCAGCUGGAGUGCAGGAGAGGUAAGCGGAAUUCCUAGUGUAGCGGUGAAAUGCGUAGAUAUUAGGAGGAACACCAGUGGCGAAGGCGGCUGACUGGACUGUAACUGACACUGAGGCACGAAAGCGUGGGGAGCA
rnacentral:rRNA from 1 species